rnacentral:lncRNA from 1 species
GGAUUUGGAGCUUGGAGACCCCGGAGCUAGUUUCCUCCACAUCUCCAAGGUUCGGGUCACACCAACCCUCGAUCUCCAAGAGGUUAGUGUAGAUCUCUGCUUUUCCUUAUGUUUUAAUGAGUUUUAAGUAAGUUUUAAGGAGAUUUGAUGUAUGUGUUUGGGUAGAUAUGCAUGAUAGGGUUUAUGUGAGUUUUGUGCCAAUGUAUGAUUACAUGAUGUUUUGUUGGGGUUUUAAGUUAGUUUAUGCCCCUUUAUGCAUGUGGGAGUGAGUAUGCAUGUUUGGGAGAGAGUAUGUAAGGAUUUGGGGUGUAUUGAGUUCGGUUUUUGGCUAGGCAGAAUCGGACCUGU